CCAACAGCCCGACGAGCCCCAGCAGCACGAGUCUCAGUCUACGCACGUGCCACCUGUUGAUUGUCCAGACAUGGAUGACGUGCACAUCCAAGAUGGACUGGGGAGAGUGAGGAGGACACGAGGACCCACUCGAGCACAGGACGUGUGGAGCCUACGUGAGGAUGA